GAUGAACGCUGGCGGCGUGCCUAAUACAUGCAAGUCGAGCGAACGGACGAGAAGCUUGCUUCUCUGAUGUUAGCGGCGGACGGGUGAGUAACACGUGGAUAACCUACCUAUAAGACUGGGAUAACUUCGGGAAACCGGAGCUAAUACCGGAUAAUAUUUUGAACCGCAUGGUUCAAAAGUGAAAGACGGUCUUGCUGUCACUUAUAGAUGGAUCCGCGCUGCAUUAGCUAGUUGGUAAGGUAACGGCUUACCAAGGCAACGAUGCAUAGCCGACCUGAGAGGGUGAUCGGCCACACUGGUACUGAGACACGGUCCAGACUCCUACGGGAGGCAGCAGUAGGGAUUCUUCCGCAAUGGGCGAAAGCCUGACGGAGCAACGCCGCGUGAGUGAUGAAGGUCUUCGGAUCGUAAAACUCUGUUAUUAGGGAAGAACAUAUGUGUAAGUAACUGUGCACAUCUUGACGGUACCUAAUCAGAAAGCCACGGCUAACUACGUG
rnacentral:rRNA from 1 species